UAUAUUUAGUCGCUGUUUCCGCACCGAUUCAAACGGUUGCGGUUUUCCAGGAAAGGGACAACGCGGGGAUAAGAACAGAAUCUUCUGGAAUUCGGGGGAGGGAGGAGCUCCAGAAACUUACAGUGAUCAGGGACCUGCUGAGUCAGAAUGAUCUGGCUGUGGCUUCCAGCAGCUGAUUUAAGAUGGCAUUUCGAUAUUACACUGAAGACAACACACUGAGUUCCACAUCAUCAGACUUGAAACCUCUCAGUGCAAUCACAGCAGUAACAACAACAUUCAAAACAUACUUUGUUGGCUCAAAAAUAUAUUGGGAUGUACUGAAGCUGGAAGAUACUGUGGACAUGUUGUAAGAGAUCACAACUGGGAGCAUCAACUGAAAUCCUUUGUAAACCGAAGGAGGAAAGACAGAGAGAGAGAGAUGUCACACGACUGAACAUCAUCAGGCCAACAACUCAAAUCAAACAAAGAACUGUGGAUGCUGAAGAUCUGAAACAAAACCAGAAAUUGCUGGAGAAACUCAGUUCUGGAGCUGAAACAUCAGCGCCGUUCCCCCAGCCCCCACUCUCUAAAGAUGAUGAGUUUCUCCAGCACUAGGUUUUUGUUUGAGGCUGUGUUUUCUGUGAGUGGCAGCUCUCCACCCACUCUCCGGCCCCCGGGUGGGGAAGCGGUCUGACAGUGUUAACCUGCAGCGAUUAGAACCACCAACAAUGCACCAACCACAUGCUGGCCUAUGGUUUCUCCCUGCUUCUGCAGUAAGGCCGGCUACACAAGCAAAACGCCAACUUUGAUGGCUUGUUUCCUGUUACUGGACCCUGGCCACCACCGCCAGACUUGGGGUCUUGCUACGCAGUCUCCCUUGUGCUAGGGAAUCUACAAUUGACGAAGAUUAAUCCCCUGUGCACUAAGCGACAGCCAGAAUUAAACCACCAGCUCUCUCUGCCUCCCCCCCCUCCCAAUAGAUUUCCCAUUCAGUGGAGCACAUUCAAAGGGUAGUCACUGCCAACCUGCCAGCCACUGGAGGGAGAUAUCCAUAUAUCAAAACACUGGGAGAACUGCCAUCCUUUUUUCAAAAUAAAGUACUUUUCCAUCUCUUAUGUACACCCAGGAAGAGCCUCAGUCUCAUAUCUGGAAGGGGAGGUCUCCAAUGCUGCAAUGCUCACUCCUCAGUAGAACACUGGAAUGCCAGCCUGGAUUAGGAACUGCAAUGUCUGGAGAAGGUCUUGAACUCAGAGGGUUAAGUGCUGCCCACUGAGCAGAGACAGACAAGAGAGCAGCCCACAGUUUGCAGCAACCUCCUCAACACUCCUGGGAAGGUCAAGUCAGUGACACUGAAACCAGGCUUUACUGGAGUUUGUGCAAACGCUCCCCUUAAUAAGCAUCGCCUUGAAAUGCCACAGAAACCAUGUUAGGAAAGGGGCCCCAAAACAGAGCAGACAAUGAGGUGAAAUAUUGGAAGGGAGUGAGGAGGAUACUGAGGCUUUGGGAUCUUUAUUGGUCCAAAUGGCUCCCAGUUAGGACAGUCUCAAUUUUAAUUCCUCAUCUGUGAGCAAACCCCUCCAUGGCCUCCCCCCUACCUCUGGGAUGCCCAUGCUCCACCAACGCUGGCAGCUGGACAAUGUCAAUUGGGAAAGUGCUGGAGGUUCUCACCUUAUCAGCAGGUGUCAGCCGGGUCCAGGGCUUGUCAGCUCGCCGAUCGUAGUCCUGGGCUUCUGUCACUUCCACAUACUCGUUAAAACGCAGAAUGCGCCGGGCUUGUAGCUCUGCAACUGUUGGCCUGAGGCUAAGCUGUUAGGAAGACAGACCAGUCAUUAGCCACAGAAGAUUCCUCUCAAUCGAACAUUGCAUCGGCAAGAGACUGACAUGGACUUUAAUGUACAGCAGGCACUGUGUCAAAUGGCACCCUCUGUUAGGAGGAUGAUUACCUAAAAGGUCUUUCUGCACUGGUUCAUUCUCCACUCACGGGACUCAAUGUGAUACUGGAUGCAAUGUCACGGUAACACAGAGUGGAGCUUCAUACAACAGUUUUAUUCCUUGCUCAAUGAAUAGAUCUAGCGGGCAAUUGUAUCAGGGUAACAGAGUCACAAGGCUGUAAACAUUAUUCAGCACAAAUGCAAAAAAAAAAUCACAAGAUCAGCCGCCUCACAUGGUUGAGCUUAUGGAAAUGAAACUGAAGUUGCAGCGGAGGAGAAAUAGGAUGUAAGGAGUUGACAUGCAUGGGACCUGCUGCCAAUUUACUGUCUGAUUUGUGCAUGACUGGAGGAGAAAUGUGUAUCCUCAGUGGGAAUUCUGGUUGCACAGUUUCAGCGAAGACCUAUGUAAAGUCAUAAAGACACAACUGUCCCUGUUGAGAUUCUAUCAUUUCUAUAAUGAUGUGUAAAUAGACUGUGGUCCCUUUUGAUAUUUGGGACUCAAAAUAGGAGGAACUGAUUUCUUAAUUAAGAUUGACGACAGUUAAAUUAGCCUUCUGUUAUUUGCCCAGAAGAUGUUCUUUUCUGAUGAGUCAGAUUUUUUUCCCCACACACACGCAGAAGCCUUGCCUCUAAGUUACCAAAUCCAUUUAACAAUCAGCUCCAGUCUCAGCAGCCCAGGACUGUCUGCAACCCUGCAUCUUCUUCCAUGGAGACAGGGAAUGUUCGAGCACUGAGCAUUCUUAAUGAAAUUGUAUGAAUUUCCAGACACUAUUCAGGAGCGAUUUGCUUCUAUGGACGAUUAAUUUAUUGAAAUACCUACUAAUUUGUUCUUUUAAAAUUAAAACGCCUGCUAAACGUCCCUGGUUCAAUCCUAUAGCUCAGAGACAGAAUCGUUCAGUAGCAACUGAGAUCUAUUUUGGAGAUUGCAGUAAAAAUCAUUUCAGGUAAUGGUAAUUGAGGUUUACCUUGCGAGUCAGCCUCCUCCUGAUCUCCAGUCUCUCUUCAUGUUCCUCCUCUUCAUUUCGAUCUGUUUAUUCGCAAAAGGAAAGGAGAGGGUCAGACAAUCGAAAGCAGCUGCAAAAAGCCAUAGCAAUCAUUCAGCACAGGUUCGACGUAGGGAAAUCCUCCUCUGCUCUGACUUUCCCUCCUACAGCUGUGACGUGUGUUAAGACACCCCUCACAGCAACGUCACUGUGCGUUAUGGUGUCUGUACCCUCCUUUUAUGGCCCCACGUGGUGGCGCACACAUGCGCAGUGUGUGUGUGUAGUUUUGGGGUGGGGGGGGUUAGGGAAGCUGUGUGACACAUUGGUCGUCCCUCUGAGGACCUCCUGCUCCUACUCCUGACAGGAGAUUUAGGAAAACUGGCCACCCGAAGAGAGACAAUACAUAGGCUUGGUGUGGUAAAGUGGGGGAGUGGAAGUGGAAACUGAGAAGGAACACAAUGUCCUUCCCAGAUACACACACACACACACAUACCCCACAUGCCUUUGAUUCUGCUAAAGGGCUGGGUGACCAAGGAUACCACGCGCACUGUUGUUGUCCUGGAGCUCCAGGAUUGUUAGCAAACUGAAACUGGCACUGGAGACUCCUGGGGAGAUGUUAGGACAGAUGAAAAUGAAAAACCAUUCCUGCUCAAAGCAAUGGGUUUUCAUGAGCGAGUUAAGACCAUAGGACAUAGGAGCAACAAUAAGUCCAUUCAGCCCAUUGAGUCUGCUCUGUUAUUUUGCUGAUAAGUUUCUCAACCCCAUUCUCCUGCCUUCUCCCCUUAGGUUCUUGAUAUUCCAGAACCUAUCUCCCUCAGUCUUAAAUAGACUCAAUGAGUUGAUUGGAAAAGAAGGGCAGAUGGUUUUUGGGGAAGGGAAUAUUAGGGCCUUGCCAGCUCUGGGUGGUGUCUGUUCUAAGAGGCAACUGGAGGGAGUCAAUAAUCCAGGAGCACAUAGACUCAGAGGCCUGCAUGUGAGCAUGGAAGCCUCUUUGGUAGCCACUCUCUGAAGAGAAUUGCAAGCUGAUGAGGAAAGAACAUUAACCACUGAACUCAGUAUUUGAUUCUCAUCAUCCUGUUUAUUACAGAGUCUAUUUAUUUCUGCAGUGAUAGAAGUUAAAACCUAACAGGAUAUUAACUGAAGGACUGGUACAAUAUUCCUGAAUUUCUGCCUAACCCUAACAUAAUAAUGCUUUAUAAUUAUACAAGAGACUAAUCGCAGUGAGGUGAUGAGAAGUGAUUGUUACAGCACAGUGGUCAGUCAGUCCAUUGUGUGUACAGGUAUAUAGUUUUUCCCAAACGUUAUUCAAGUGGUCUCACUCCUCCUGCUUGUUCUUCCCACCUCUUCAAUUUAUUCAAUCCUAUUUUGAAUUCAAUUAUUAAAACGUUUUGUACUGACCCACAGCUAGCUCAUUCCAGAUUAUUAAAAAAAUUGUGUA